rnacentral:lncRNA from 1 species
GGCUUUGUCUUUUAAAAUGUCAGCCGAAGGAGCAUCUUCGGCUUGUCGAAAUUGUCGUUUAGCAACUGAUUUACGCCGUUUUGAAGACGGCGAAGGAGUAGUUUGUACAGUUUCAAUCGGACUUUUAUCCGAAGCUGGGACCGAUGAAGAAGUAGGAAUAGACUGAUGAUGAAAGUAAAAGAAAAGUAAGUAUUACAAACAUCAAGAUAGAAAGAAUCAAGAGA